rnacentral:rRNA from 1 species
AUUUUUUUUUCUCAUUAUUAUAUUAGAAAAGUCUUAUAUGAUAAAAUUAUAUGAAGCAUAUAGAAAAGAAAAAUUUUUAAAAGAAAUUAAAUUUUAAAUAAUAAUAAAGCAACCUCAACUCAUAUGAGAUUACUCCCUGAAUUUAAGCAUAUUAAUUAGGGAAGGAAAAGAAACUAACUAGGAUUUUCUUAGUAGCGGCGAGCGAAAAGAAAAUAGUUCAGCACUAAGUUAUUUUGUUUUUAUAACAAAUAUAAGAUGCAGUGUAUGGAAUAUUCAUAAUCUAGUAUGAUAAAUUAAUAGUUCAAGUCCUUCUUAAAUGAGGCCAUUUACCCAUAGAGGGUGCCAGGCCCGUAGGCGACGUUAAUGAUUACUAGAGAAUAUUUCUUAAGAGUCGUGUUGCUUGAUAGUGCAGCACUAAUUGGGUGGUAAACUCCAUCUAAAACUAAAUAUUACCAUGAGACCGAUAGCAAACAAGUACCGUGAGGGAAAGUUGAAAAGAACUCUGAAUAGAGAGUUAAAUAGUACGUGAAACUGCUUAGAGGUUAAGCCCGAUGAACCUAAAUAUCUAAUAUGAAAAAUUCAUCAUUAAUAUUAUAUAGCUCUUAUGGGUUAUAUAAAAAUAAUGUGCAAUUUUUUCAUAUAUAGACAUUGUAAUCUGUUAAUAUUUGAAUUUAUAAAAAUUUAUCAUAAGUAUCACGUAUGAUUCAGUUUAUAUUUAAUAUAAUAAAUUUAUUUAUUAUAUUAAUAUAAAAUUCAUAUUAAAAUGUGAUUACGGAUAAAUUAUUGACAGAUUUAAAAUUUAUAUAUAACGCUUACAUAUUAUUUAUAAUAUGUUAUAAUGAAAUAAAUAUUAUUUAAAAUAUUAUUUCUGUUAUAUGCGUUUAUAUGAUUAACAAUGCUAUAGAUUUAGGAUACCUUCGGGACCCGUCUUGUAACACGGACCAAGGAGUCUAACAUAUGCGCAAGUCAUUGGGUAUUUUAAAAACCUAAAGGCGUAAAUAACUUAACUUUAAUAAUGGGAUUAAUUAUAUAAAAAAUAUAUUUAUAUAUUCCAUCCCGGGGCGUUCUAUAUAGUUAUGUAUAUAUAUAAUAUUUAUUUUAAACAUUUAUAUUAUUUUAUAUACCUCUAACUGGAGCGUACCUUGAGCAUAUAUGUUGUGACCCGAAAGAUGGUGAACUAUACCUGAUCAGGUAGAAGUCAGGGGAAACCCUGAUGGAAGACCGAAACAGUUCUGACGUGCAAAUCGAUUGUCAGAAUUGGGUAUAGCGGCGAAAGACCAAUCGAACCAUCUAGUAGCUGGUUCCCUCCGAAGUUUCCCUCAGGAUAGCUGGUGCAUAUAAAUAUUAUUUAAAAAUAAUCUUAUCUGGUAAAGCGAAUGAUUAGAGGCCUUAGGGCCGAAACGACCUUAACCUAUUCUCAAACUUUAAAUGGGUAAGAACCUAACCUUUCUUGAUAUGAAGGUAUAGGUUAUGAUAUAUUGUGCCCAGUGGGCCAUUUUUGGUAAGCAGAACUGGCGCUGUGGGAUGAACCAAACGUGAUGUUAAGGCGCCAAAAUUAACAACUCAUACCGAUACCAUGAAAGGCGUUGGUUGCUUAAAACAGCAGGACGGUGGGCAUGGAAGUCGUAAUCCGCUAAGGAGUGUGUAACAACUCACCUGCCGAAGCAACUAGCCCUUAAAAUGGAUGGCGCUCAAGUUGUAUGCCUAUACAUCACCGUUAAAGUAUAUGAUUUAUAUUAUAUAAUUUAAUAUAUUAUAAAUUUUGAAACUUUAAUGAGUAGGAGGGUACAAUGAUGUGCAUAGAAGUGUUUAUCGUAAGAUUGCAUGGAGCCAUCAUUGGUACAGAUCUUGGUGGUAGUAGCAAAUAAUCGAAUGAGACCUUGGAGGACUGAAGUGGAGAAGGGUUUCGUGUGAACAGUGGUUGAUCACGAGUUAGUCGGUCCUAAGUUCAAGGCGAAAGCUGAUAAAUGAUAAGUUAUAUAUUAUAAAUACACUUAUUAUUAUUGAACGAAAGGGAAUACGGUUCCAAUUCCGUAACCUGUUGAGUAUACGUUUGUUAUUAAAAAUGGGCUAUUUAAUGCUCAUCCUGGCAACAGAAACAACCAUAAAGAAGCCGUCGAGAAAUAUCGAAAGAGUUUUCUUUUCUGUUUUAUAGUCGUACUACCAUGGAAGUCUUUCGAAGAGAGAUAUGGUAGAUGGACUAGAAGAGCAUGGCAUUUACUGCUGUGUCGAUAUUUUCUCCUCGGACCUUGAAAAUUUAUGGUGGGGUUACGCAAACUUCUUAACAGGCCGUACCGAUAUCCGCAGCUGGUCUCCAAGGUGAAGAGUCUCUAGUCGAUAGAAUAAUGUAGGUAAGGGAAGUCGGCAAAUUAGAUCCGUAACUUCGGGAUAAGGAUUGGCUCUGAAGAUUGAGAUAGUCGGGCUUGAUUGGGAAACAAUAUUAUGGUUUAUGUGCUCAUUCUGGGUAAAUUAGGAUUUAUAAAAUUUUUUUUUUCUAAAGAUUAUGUAUAUCUGUUCCCCGGAUAGAAGUUAACGUAGCCAAUUGUGGAACUUUCUUGCUAAUAAUUUAUAAAUUGAUAUAAUUUCAUAUUUUAUUAUGUGUUAUAUUAUAAGUAUAAAAACUUAUUAAUAUAUACUAAUAUAUAUGGGUUUAUCAUAUUUUAUAAAUUUAUAACGGCUAUCAAUUAACAAUCAAUUCAGAACUGGCACGGACUUGGGGAAUCCGACUGUCUAAUUAAAACAAAGCAUUGUGAUGGCCCUAGCGGGUGUUGACACAAUGUGAUUUCUGCCCAGUGCUCUGAAUGUCAAAGUGAAGAAAUUCAAGUAAGCGCGGGUAAACGGCGGGAGUAACUAUGACUCUCUUAAGGUAGCCAAAUGCCUCGUCAUCUAACUAGUGACGCGCAUGAAUGGAUUAACGAGAUUCCUACUGUCCCUAUCUACUAUCUAGCGAAACCACAGCCAAGGGAACGGGCUUGGAAUAAUUAGCGGGGAAAGAAGACCCUGUUGAGCUUGACUCUAGUCUGGCAGUGUAAGGAGACAUAAGAGGUGUAGCAUAAGUGGGAGAUAUAAUAUAAAAUUGAAAAAUUUUUUUUAUAUCAAAAGUGAAAUACCACUACUCUUAUCGUUUCCUUACUUACUUGAUAAGAUGGAACGUGUAUCAUUUACUUAGCCAUUAUAUGGAUAUUAUAUUAUGUUUGUUUCAUCUUAGCUAUGUUACAAUACAUAAUUUAUAAUAUUUUAUGGUAUUUUGUUUUGAUGCAAGUUUCUUGAUAAAAGUACUUAAGAGUUUGUUAUAUACACCAAACAAAUCUUAAUGAAAUAUUAUAUAAAGACUUUUUAAUUAUUAUAUAUAUUCCUCUUUAUACGCAUUUUAUUUUGUAUACUUGUAUAUAUUAAUUGAACCUUUAAACGGGGAAUAUUUAUAUAUUUCAAUGUUAUAAAAUUAUUAUGCGUUAUAAUAGUUGGAAUUUUAUGUAUAUUAUAUAAUACUUUAUAAUUCUAAUAAAGUAAUUAAAUUUGGUAUAACUCCUAUACUCUAGUAUUAUCCAAUUCAAGGACACUAUCAGGUUGGGAGUUCGACUGGGGCGGUACAUCUCUCAAAUAAUAACGGAGGUGUCCCAAGGCCAGCUCAGUGCGGACAGAAACCACACAUAGAGCAAAAGGGCAAAUGCUGACUUGAUCUAGGUAUUCAGUAAAUACAUAGACAGCAAAAGCUUGGCCUAUCGAUCCUUUUGGUUUAAAGAGUUUUUAAC